AACCUAUAAUGAGGACACCUUCUCAAUAAAUCUUUAUAUCUCUCCCAUGCACCAUAUAGACUCUCUAAAUAGAUCUGCACAAAAAAGGAGAUAUCAUUCCUCAACUU
rfam:Gossypium arboreum cultivar AKA8401 contig_35272_1, whole genome shotgun sequence.